rnacentral:rRNA from 1 species
GACGAACGCUGGCGGCGUGCUUAACACAUGCAAGUCGAACGUGAUUUUUGUGGAAAUUCUUUCGGGAAUGGAAAUGAAAUGAAAGUGGCGAACGGGUGAGUAACACGUGAGCAACCUACCUUACACAGGGGGAUAGCCGUUGGAAACGACGAUUAAUACCGCAUGAGACCACAGAAUCGCAUGAUAUAGGGGUCAAAGAUUUAUCGGUGUAAGAAGGGCUCGCGUCUGAUUAGCUAGUUGGAAGGGUAAAGGCCUACCAAGGCGACGAUCAGUAGCCGGUCUGAGAGGAUGAACGGCCACAUUGGAACUGAGACACGGUCCAAACUCCUACGGGAGGCAGCAGUGGGGAAUAUUGCACAAUGGGGGGAACUCUGAUGCAGCGACGCCGCGUGAGCGAAGAAGGUUUUCGAAUCGUAAAAGCUCUGUCCUA